CCUACGGGUGGCAGCAGUGGGGAAUAUUGCGCAAUGGGCGAAAGCCUGAACCAGCGACGCCGCGUGAGGGAUGAAGGUCUUCGGAUCGUAAACCUCUGUCAGCAGGGAAGAACGGUCACUGUGCUAAUCAGCAGUGAAUUGACGGUACCUGCAAGGGAAGCACAGGCUAACUCCGUGCCAGCAGCCGCGGUAAUACGGGGGGUGCGAGCGUUAAUCGGAAUUACUGGGCGUAAAGCGUGCGUAGGCGGUAUGUCAAGUCUAGGGUGAAAUCCCCGCGCUCAACGUGGGCACUGCCUUGGAAACUGGCAAACUGGAGUGGGCGAGAGGAUAGUGGAAUUCGAGGUGUAGGAGUGAAAUGCGUAGAUAUGUGGAGGAACACCAGUGGCGAAGGCGACUAUCUGGCACAUAACUGACGCUGAGGAGCGAAAGCGUGGGUAGCAAACAGGAUUAGAUACCCCUGUAGUC
rnacentral:rRNA from 1 species